rnacentral:rRNA from 11 species
UGUCAUGACUUGAACACCCUAAAUGCCUCAAAUCCCAUCUGAUCUUGGAAGCUAAGCAACAUUAGCCCUGCUUCGUAUUUGGAUGGAAAACUGCCAAUGAAUACCAAGUGUUGUAAGCU